UCCAGACUCCUACGGGAGGCAGCAGUGAGGAAUAUUGGUCAAUGGCCGGAAGGCUGAACCAGCCAAGCCGCGUGAAGGACGAAGGUGCCAAGCAUUGUAAACUUCUUUUGUCAAGGGACAAAAUCAGGCUCGAGAGCCUGACCGAGGGUACUUGAAGAAAAAGCAUCGGCUAACUCCGUGCCAGCAGCCGCGGUAAUACGGAGGAUGCGAGCGUUAUCCGGAUUUAUUGGGUUUAAGGGGUGCGUAGGCGGGCAUUUAAGCCGGCGGUCAAAUGUCGGGGCUCAACCCCGGCCUGCCGUCGGAACUGGGUGCCUUGAGUGGGCGAGAAGUAUGCGGAAUGCGUGGUGUAGCGGUGAAAUGCAUAGAUAUCACGCAGAACUCCGAUUGCGAAGGCAGCAUACCGGCGCGCAACUGACGCUCAUGCACGAAAGCGUGGGUAUCGAACAGGAUUAGAUACCCCCGUAUCU
rnacentral:rRNA from 1 species